rnacentral:misc_RNA from 1 species
GUAGGUGAACCUGCGGAAGGAUCAUUAUUGAAUUAACUUGGUUGGGUUGUUGCUGGCUCUUAGGAGCAUGUGCACACUCACUCCAUUUUCAACCACCUGUGCACUUUUUGUAGGCUUGAAUAAUUCUCGAGGACACUCGGUUUGAGAACUGCUGUUAACUGCAGCUUUUCUUGUAUUUCAGGUCUAUGUUUUAAUAUACUCCAUAAGAAUGUAAAAGAAUGUUAUAUCAAGGGCCUUUUGUGCCUUUAAA